GUAGUUUGUGUUUGUGUCCUGCGGAAAAUCAAGAGAGGCGUAGAAGGAGGUCAGACCGUUCUGUUGGUCCCAAGAGGUGAGCGCACCGCUCUGCGUUGUCACGGUUACGGGGCGUCCAAUCAGCUGUGAGACGUCCGGGUGAUUCGAGGCUUUCGAAUUUCCCAAAACAUACGAGGUCACGACGAGAGAGAAAAGCUCCACCUCGACAAAACGUUCCUGGAACCGGAUCAUCGGCAGUAAACCGACAGCACAGAGGUCAGAGGUCGGGAAAUCAAAGCGCCGUGACGACGCAUCGGACGGAUCACCGUGGGAAACGGAACCGCAGCUUGUCGGCGGGCCAAUCAGCACCCGGAUCAAAAGGCUCCCUGCCGCGGUUGGCAGCAGGUGGAGGAGGUCAGAGGUCACUGGAACAGUCAAGAGCCAGGAAAUGGUCACCUGACGCAGAUGAGAGGUGAGCCGGCUGCCGACCACGCCCGUCACGGCCUUCGCUCCAUCGGCUCCAGCCGCGACAAUGGCCGUCACUCCAGGCCCCUCGCCGCCACCCUUCAUCGCACCGCCCUGCUUUUGUUGCCGCGCCAACCGCCUGAUAACAUUGUGGAAGCUGUUCCUUGUUCUUUCAUCCGGCUGCUUGCGUAACGUGUGAAUAAUAAAUCAGUCUAAAAGAAAUACGUCCAACACACGUCUGUUUUAGACUCACUGAUAACACGAGUUAUGAGUUAGUAAUGUUAACAACUUGUGAGUACACAUUAAAUAAUACACCUGUUGUUCGUUUCACAGGUUCUGUGGUGCUCCAGUUCUACAGCCAAAGCAUAAUCAGUAUCACCAGUGAAAGGUCGCCCUCGUGGGAAUUAGGGGUUGUUAUAUUUUACGUUUUAUUACCAAUAAAUGGAGAUAGUCUAAUGGAGGGAAAGUAAGUUUACAACAUAGGGGGCUGGGCCCUGUAAAGUGACACCGGAUAGAUCUGAGGGGUCCGGAGAUGAUUAAUGGGGAAGAAGAAGACAAAAAUGCACAUUUAUUAUUAAAAUUUAUGUAACAAUUAGGGAAAAAUUAUUUCAUAUUUGAUAGUUUUUUUUAUGUAAAACGUUUGUAAAGUAACUAAAGCUGUCCGACAAAUAAAGUGAAGAAGAAAAUUCGUAGUCAAAGGUAUCGAGUAGCAGGCAACACAGAGGGGGAAGUAACAUUGUACAUAAGUGGAGCACUUGCGAUACAAAAUGGUUCUUUUAGUCUCAAAGCAGCGUAAUAAUUUAAGUGGAGUUCUGGUCUCAGUUGAGUUGAAGCAGAUGUUCACAGCUGUAUCAGAUAAACUGCAUUUAGUUAAAAACAUUAGUUACUCCUGAAGAUCACAAAUAUUUCAUGUAACAUACUUAAAUGUUUUUUAUGAUUAAAAAAUCCAUUUGAACACAUGGAACAGAUGGAAAUAAAUGUGGCAUUACAAAUAACAAAAGUAAAAACAAUAUAGUAAGACAUUCUAAUAAGAAAUAACUAUAUUGAUUUUUAUAUUUACAUGUAUUUCUAAAAUAUGUCUUGAUUAAACAAUAUAGACUCAUCCA